UGAAAGGGAGGGAGGGUUAGGGAGAAACUCAGUGGGGAGGCGAUGGCCCCUCACCUUGUGCUUUUCUUGUGCUGUCAAGACCCCCUCUUUCGAGACUGCUGGGCCACAAGAUGAGCAUGAUGGGCGUGAAAGAUAAAGGGACAGCGUGCGGCGGAGCUGUGUUCCCUCCUCACCCGAGCAUCCAACCCUGUCAGCUGGAAAUAACACGUCACGUGAGACACAGGGCCCGGGAGGAUUCCAGGAGGACUCCGGGAGGAUCCAGACUAAGAAGUAGCCUGCCUUCGCGAGACUUGGGGCGAGAGGAGUUCGGACUUCCCACCACUCUGGUCCCAGAAGCUUCUAGAAAUGGUACACCAUGGGAAGGAGUCAGCCUCUCUUGCCCUCCAAGCCAGAAAGAUUUCUCCUCCAGGAGUUCAGGAACAGGGCCCCGGGGGCCACUGGAGUCAGGUUUGGGGGAAAAAAAGAGGCAGAGACAAGGCGGAGAAAGUAGACACCAGGAACGUUUGAAGCAACUGAGACUCAUCCACUAGAGAGAAGGUUUUAAAGCCCCUGAGAUUUCAUAGGAAGAAUCCUUGCGGAAAUGUGAAGAUGCUCACCAGACAGCUCACACGGAGACGGAGCUGUGUAGGAGGAGUGCUUGUGAGGAUUGCGUAGAAGCGGGCGGCAGAGUGGAGCGCCUGCUGAUUCUGGGCUGUCUUCGACUGUACCUCGGACUACUUCAGACCCCAGACCACACCUGCAAUAGACAGGAAAGCAUGCCUGUCUUUCACCUUCUGCCACAAUUCUUUGUCUAUUUAAACCCAAAGCUCAUGUCUGUACCCUGAAGGUGGUGGAUGAUGGGGUGAAGUGUUUAAUUUGCCUCUUUCUAAGGCUUCCUGAUCGUGCCAUGUAAUUCAUUUCCUUUCUCUGCCUUUCAAAAAUAAAUAAAUAAAUAAAGCAA